AGGUAGGAAUACCCGCUGAACUUAAGCAUAUCAAUAAGCGGAGGAAAAGAAACCAACAGGGAUUGCCCCAGUAACGGCGAGUAAGCGGCAACAGCUCAAAUUUGAAAUCUGGCUUCGGCCCGAGUUGUAAUUUGCAGAGGAUGUUUAUGGUGCGGUACCUUCCGAGUUCCCUGGAACGGGACGCCACAGAGGGUGAGAGCCCCGUCUGGUUGGAUACCAAACCUGUGUUAAACUCCUUCAACGAGUCGAGUAGUUUGGGAAUGCUGCUCUAAAUGGGAGGUAAAUCUCUUCUAAAGCUAAAUACCGGCCAGAGACCGAUAGCGCACAAGUAGAGUGAUCGAAAGAUGAAAAGCACCUUGAAAAGGGGGUUAAACAGUACGUGAAAUUGUUGAAAGGGAAGCGUUUAUGACCAGACUUGUGUCGUGUGGCUCAUCCGAGGUUCUCCCCGGUGCACUCCACACGGCUCAGGCCAACAUCGGUUCUCGUCGGGGGAUAAGAACAGUAGGAACGUGGCCCCCCUCGGGGGGUGUUAUAGCCUACUGUACGAUACCUUGAUGGGGACCGAGGACCGCGCUUCGGCUAGGAUGUUGG
rnacentral:rRNA from 1 species